UUUCAUUGGUCAAUGAAAGGGAUGAGAAAGAAUAGGGAUGAAUAUGAAGGGGGAUGGGAAAGAGAGAAAUACAAAUUGAUCAUGGGAGGAAUUUUAUCAAAUUAAAAUCAUUCAUUCAUUUUAGAAGAUGAAAUGUACAUUUCAUCAAUCCCCUAAAUCCAAUGAUUUUAAUUCAACAAAAGUCAAAUCAACCUUGACCAAGGCCCAAACAAAUAGUCAAACAUCACAAGACCAUAAAAAUGGCUCAACAUAAU
rnacentral:lncRNA from 1 species